UACGAAGGGUGCAAGCGUUACUCGGAAUUACUGGGCGUAAAGGGUGCGUAGGUGGUUUGUUAAGUCUGCUGUGAAAUCCCCGGGCUCAACCUGGGAAUGGCAGUGGAUACUGGCAAGCUAGAGUGCGGUAGAGGGUAGUGGAAUUCCCGGUGUAGCAGUGAAAUGCGUAGAUAUCGGAAGGAACACCAGUGGCGAAAGCGGCUUCCUGGUCCGACACCGACGUUCAGGCACGAAAGCGUGGGGAGCAAACAGG
rnacentral:rRNA from 1 species